rnacentral:lncRNA from 1 species
UUCCUUUAGCAAAUGCACGGUGUCAUGUAUGUGUUAAACAGUUGAACAAUGAUCGGGAGAGUGAACAACAGUUAUUUAAAAUGAAACUGCAGGGUGGAGAUAACUCUGUGUAUGAGUUGUUAGCGAUUCAUUCACCUACCUACCGCCGACACAGUCAAACACCUUCACUCUUUAGUAAUGUUCAUUACCUGCAAAUCAGUUACACAAGUUUGAAACAUGCGACAAGUCGGGAAACAGUAACACUCCUUUCUACAAAUUACAUAGCUGGUGAAGGAUUAGCAUUGGACCACAUAAUCGUCCCCAGCCAUAUUAUACAAACAAUGGUCAAGAUUUCACACUCUGAAUAAGGUCCCAGACUGAAACUCCUUUGCACUUGCAGUACUUCACCCAGUAUACCAAUAAGAUAGCCCCCUAUGAAGGUUUGAUAGCUGAAAGAAAGCAAAGCAGAUUUAAAGCCCAAGCCCGUCGGGAUGCAUCCCGGGA